AACCCCUCCCCCCCCCACCCCCCCACCCCCCACCCCCCCACCCCCCACCCCCCACCCCCCACCCCCCCCCCCCCACCGCUCCGGCCCAGGGCUCUGGGGUUGCCCCGCCCACGUACUGCCCGCAGGCACCCGCGGGGCCGCACCGGGGCCGGGCGGGACCAAGGUGCUGGGCCAAGCCUAGGCCCCGCCGCCGGCACCCAUUCCCAGCUGCCGGUCCUCAGGUCCUCGCUUCCUCCGGGCGUCAGGGCCUGGGGGGCGGGCCGGGUGUCUUCAUCUUCCUGAUAUAUGGGGUAUACAACACAGAGGGCUGCUGCACCUGGAUUACACGCGGUUUCCUUUUCCAGUAGCCUUCAGGUAGGUUGGCAACAAGACUUUUUUUUUUUUUUUUUGCAACGGUACCUCUAUUGCGGUUUCAAAGCAGGCUCCUCCUAUAAAUGCAAAGGAUACACGCCCAUUAUUAAAAUAUUUCCAAACUAAGAGGGAUAACAGAAGCAAUGUUUUAAUAAAUGUUGUGCACUUGAAGUUUACUGCUUUUAGGUAGAACCAAAAGUGCCCUAAGUGAUCCACUUGUGGGUUUGGAUUUUGAUUCAAUACUUGGACUGCAAACUAAAGCAGAGAAAGCCCCCACAUUCGUCCUCAGUUUCCCCCACCUUUUCCGCCAGCCUCUUUCUCUGCAGCCCCCAAGCCACGCUGCAUUACGGUCCUGCGUAAUUCCGCCCCUUGGGUUCCACCUCCUGAGCGGCCUCCCCCAGAAGCCCUCAUCCACGUCCACCGCCGUCAGUGCAGCC
rnacentral:lncRNA from 1 species